rnacentral:rRNA from 1 species
UGAGUUUGAUCCUGGCUCAGGAUGAACGCUGGCGGCGUGCUUAACACAUGCAAGUCGAACGAAGCACUUUGAAAGCUUGCUUUCAAAGUGACUGAGUGGCGGACGGGUGAGUAACGCGUGGGUAACCUGCCUUAUACAGGGGGAUAACAGUUGGAAACGACUGCUAAUACCGCAUAAGCGCACAGUGCCGCAUGGCACAGUGUGAAAAACUCCGGUGGUAUAAGAUGGACCCGCGUCUGAUUAGCUAGUUGGUGAGGUAACGGCUCACCAAGGCGACGAUCAGUAGCCGGCCUGAGAGAGUGAUCGGCCACAUUGGGACUGAGACACGGCCCAAACUCCUACGGGAGGCAGCAGUGGGGAAUAUUGCACAAUGGGGGAAACCCUGAUGCAGCAACGCCGCGUGAGUGAAGAAGUAUUUCGGUAUGUAAAGCUCUAUCAGCAGGGAAGAUAAUGACGGUACCUGACUAAGAAGCCCCGGCUAACUACGUGCCAGCAGCCGCGGUAAUACGUAGGGGGCAAGCGUUAUCCGGAUUUACUGGGUGUAAAGGG